rnacentral:lncRNA from 1 species
AAACACUGACGCCGCGGUCGGGAUUAGAUCUCGUGACUUUCUGGUCAGCAGUCCAGCACCAUAACCACUAGACCACCAUGGCGGGGCUGAAGACACAUA